CGCGGCCUAUCAGCUUGUUGGUGGGGUAAUGGCCUACCAAGGCGUCGACGGGUAGCUGGUCUGAGAGGACGAUCAGCCACACUGGGACUGAGACACGGCCCAGACUCCUACGGGAGGCAGCAGUGGGGAAUACUGCGCAAUGGGCGAAAGCCUGACGCAGCGACGCCGCGUGCGGGAAGACGGCCUUAGGGUUGUAAACCGCUUUCAGCAGGGACGAAAUUGACGGUACCUGCAGAAGAAGCCCCGGCCAACUACGUGCCAGCAGCCGCGGUAAUACGUAGGGGGCAAGCGUUGUCCGGAAUUAUUGGGCGUAAAGAGCUCGUAGGUGGUUUGUCGCGUCUGCUGUGAAAGUCCGAGGCUUAACCUCGGAUCUGCAGUGGGUACGGGCAGACUAGAGUGCGGUAGAGGAGAUCGGAAUUCCUGGUGUAGCGGUGGAAUGCGCAGAUAUCAGGAGGAACACCGGUGGCGAAGGCGGAUCUCUGGGCCGUAACUGACGCUGAGGAGCGAAAGCAUGGGGAGCAAACAGGCUUAGAUACCCUGGUAGUCCAUGCCGUAAACGUUGGGCACUAGGUGUGGGACCCUAUCCACGGGUUCCGUGCCGCAGCUAACGCAUUAAGCGCCCCGCCUGGGGAGUACGG
rnacentral:rRNA from 1 species